rnacentral:rRNA from 1 species
UGGGGAAUGUUCCGCAAUGGACGAAAGUCUGACGGAGCAACGCCGCGUGAGUGAUGACGGUCUUCGGAUUGUAAAGCUCUGUUAAUCGGGACGAAUGGUUUGUGUGCAAAUAGGGCAUAGACAUGACGGUACAGGAAUAGAAAGCCACGGCUAACUACGUGCCAGCAGCCGCGGUAAUACGUAGGAGGCAAGCGUUGUCCGGAAUUAUUGGGCGUAAAGCGCGCGCAGGCGGACUAGCCAGUCAGUCUUAAAAGUUCGGGGCUUAACCCCGUGAUGGGAUUGAAACUACUAGUCUAGAGUAUCGGAGAGGAAAGUGGAAUUCCUAGUGUAGCGGUGAAAUGCGUAGAUAUUAGGGAGAACACCAGUGGCGAAGGCGACUUUCUGGACGAACACUGACGCUGGGGCGCGAAAGCCAGGGGAGCGAACAGG